GCAGAGCAGAGACUCCAUAAGAAAGGUACAAUAUUCUAUGUAAGAACUCUUUAUUGUAGUACACACUGUGAGAAUACAAAUGUAGGCAUUUUUUUUAUAGAUUCAGGUAUAGAUGGAGGCACAGAAAAAGAGGUCUCUAAAUUAGGUUUAUUAGUUUUGACUCCCUCUUCUCCCUCUUACAAAUUCUGUGACUCUGGUUAAUUAAUCUUGAUAAGUUUCAGUUUCCUCAUGGUGAAAUGGGAAUCGUCUUAGGCUGGCCUCAUAAGAUUUUCCCUAGUAAUAGGAUCAGGAAUGUGGGGAAUUUUUGGCAAAGAGUGAAAUACAAUAAAAGUAUUAAUUAUUAUGACAUAGUACACACAAAAAAAAAUUGAAGAGUUUAAUCUAACAAAGGAUACUCACAUUUUUUUUAGUUUAAGGGGUUUGAAUAGAUGAACUGUUAUUUAAGGAGAUUGCUAUCUUUUAAGAUAACCCUGUAGGUUUUACAUUGUCAGGGCAUUCAUUUGCACUGAAAAAAAAAAAAAGAUUCAAGUUUUAUACCUAAAAGGCAACAUCUAUUUUUUAAAGUCAAUAGGAUGCCUGAUAACAAAUAAGGCCUAAAGAAAUAAUAAGAAAAUACUAGAUUAAAACCACGUUACAAAUUAAUUCAUAAUGAUGAUACAAAGAAAAUCUUGAAAGUGUUUACAAUAUAAAUGUCUGAAUUUCUAGUUGUGACCAGAAACAGAGAUUGAUAUGUAAUGUAAAAAAUGAAAAAGAUAAAGUAUAAAGUAUCAUAAGAAUUAUUGAUAAUCAGGAAAACAUACAUGAAGGUAAAUGAUGAGGUAAAUGGUAAUUAGAAUAUUAAAAACAGAAAUGAAGAGGUAAAUAUGUGGCCAUACACACACCCCAAAACACCAAAGUGAAAUCCCAAUGAAUGAGAGGUAGAUUAAAGUGAGAAGAAAAAAAAAAUAAUAAAACCUAAAAAAAAUCAGGAUGAAAAAGUGAGUAUAAAUAAAGAAACCACAAUAUCAGAACCUCAGAGUGAGAACUCAGGGUAACACGGACAUAGAAGCAUUGAAGACAUUUUUUAUUUAUUUUUUAUUUUUAUUUUUGUCUUUGAGGGCCACACCCAUGGCAUUUGGAAAUUCCCAUGCUAGGGGUCAAAUCAGAGCUGUAGCCUCUGGCCUAUACCACAGCCAUAGCAAUCUCAGAUCUGAGCUGUCUCUACGACCUAUACCACAGCUCAUGGCAAUGCUUGAUCCUUAAUCCACCAAGCAAGGCCAGGGAUCAAACCUGCAUCCUCACAGUUACUAGUCAGAUUCAUUUCCGCUGAGCCACGAUGAGAACUCCCUUAAAGAAAUUUUUUAAAUUGCAAUUACUAAGAGAUCACUAUAUUUAUGAAUUGUAAAUAUGAAAAAAUUAGUAUGGAUGGAUCCUGACAAUAAAGUUAUGUGUCAGAGAAACAAACAAAAAAAUAUCUUAUUAAUAUACUGCUUUGGGGGUAUGUAGUUUCCCUUUCAAAACCCUAAAAAUGAGCAUAGGAAAGCAUUAAAUCCAGAAUUUAACACAAUAACAAUCUCAGAAAGCAUGUCUGAAAUUACCUCAAUUCUUAAAUUUAUUGGGUUUUGAAUGAUGCAACUGUACCAUUUGAUCAUAAUUUAAGACAAUGAGAUCAAGACGACACUUUUGUGUUCAACUUAUUGGAUUAUUUAUUAAUGAUUUCUACUCUUUCUGGGUGAUGUUAACCUUGCAGAUCUUGAUAAAUUGACAAGAUAGCUCUAGAUUUACAUUCUUUUAGAUUAAAACUUGAAUUUUGUUUAUGGUUUGUCAAAAAAUCCUAAUUGAGGACACAGGCAUACAUUCUUCUAUGUCAUUUAUAUUUCCCCUGUUUCUUUGUGUUACAAGAUAUUUUAAAACUGAACCAGAAAUGAACAUUACUCGUUGCUCCUCAAACACUGAGAUCCUUUCCCAAGCCAUCUCCUAUUGCCUAGUCGAAUAUAGGACAGGAUCUGAUAAUGAUUCAUUAUGAAAGUUUCAAAAUCCUAAUAAUUUUUACUAUACGUAAUAAAAAGAAGUGGGUUCAUUACAUCAGGGGUGGAAAGUCAGACCUCCAUGUUUGUGCUCUUCCCUCUUCUCAUGUAACUGAAGGAGAAAUCAGUAAUAUAACUGAAAACCAUCUUUUUCCUGAGGCUUAAAAUUUUUCCCAAUAUGAAGUUCCAGGCACACCUUGCUAAUAAGGUAGAAUCAGCACUAUGAGUGAAAGCUAAUGUGACACCUCUAUGAGAAUAAAAUGCUGGGUUGUAACUGAAUUUUAGAUCAAGAGAUCAUAGGCAUCUGGGUAAGAGAGAUCAUUUAAAGAAGAAAUUGGUAUGAUGGGUUAAAGACAAAUUGGAGACUAGAGAGAUCAUUUCUCCAAGCAUAAGCAGUGAUAUAACUACGAUGCAGCCUGAAGAGGCUGUGAAAUGUAGAGAACUGGUUUUACACAGUUAGAAUGGGAUGCUUUGGAUCACUACAAGUGUUCUUUUACGUACUGAGCCAUUUCAUAUACACAGCAACUGUAUACAUUGAAUACUAUUAUCAUCUACCUUUCCCAGAAAAAAGAAAACUGAGGCCCAUCGAGGUUAAAUAACUCACCCAAGUUAAACUGGAUAAUCAAAGGCAGAAACUGGGAUUUGAACUGGAUAAUCUGCUUCAGAGCCAAUGUCCUUAACUAUAAGCUUUGGACCUUCUGCCUCCUACGUAAGUCUAUUAGAAGAAUCAAAUAAGAACAUCUGAGUGAAAGUGAAUUUUAAGGCAUCGGCAGAUGUAAAGAGUUUAUAUUAGUAAUGGACUCCUGAAACAUGUGGCGUGGUUGAGGAUUGGGCUUGCACAUAAGAGCCCUUGCCAGCAUGUGAAUGCUGUGACCAAUCCCUUAGUAAGUGUGGCAAGUAUUAGAACAAUUUAUUUCACUUGAGUCUUAUUUGAAUUUUAGCAUUUUAUCAUAUUAGCCUCAAGGAACUGAACAGAGGAGUUCAUGCAAAACCCCAGUGACGUUCUUUUUAUAUUUUACUACAGAUAGUCUGCUCUUCCCAGAAAUUCCUUGAAGGUAGAAACUGUAACUUUUACCACAUGCUAUGUCCUGCAGGGCUAUCUCGGGGCUUUGAAGAUAGAGUAGGUAGUCUAUAAAUAUUUGUUAAAUAAAUAAAUGAGUUAAUUAUAACUCUAUUUACAUUGGGCUUUUACUCAAAUAAAAUAUCAACUUUAUUUUUGGAGUGUCUUGGUUGCCAGGGACAUUUUUAUAUACACAGAAGCCUCCCAGCUCCCCUCAUCCCACUUCCCCUCAUCCCACUCCCAGCAUUUUCCUGUAGUAACUGCCAUCACAAUCUUGAGUGUAGAGAAAGCAGAGUUUAACUCAAAUGUUCUUUAAUAGCAGCAUCUCUACUGAGUGGAAGGGAAAUUGAUUAUGAUGGUUGUCAGAAUGCAAGAAAAUAAGUUAAAAUCUAGAAAUGGACUAAAUGGUAUCUCUGACUUUAAAGAAUCAAGUUCCACUUAUCAGUAACUUAAGAGCACUCCAAAUGCAUAGAACAGAUAGAAACACAAUGCAGAAGUACAAGACCCAUUUGCAGAAAAUCAAAGCUCAUCCAUACAUUUUUCUUUUCUUUCUUCUUUUGGUAGUAUGUGUUAAAAGAAUUCACAGCACCCCUUUAUCUGGGUUAAUAACAGCAUAAACCUGAAUGUUUUACAGUGGGAAUUGAAAAUUCCUGAUAAGUACAAACAAAAGCAGAGUAUUCAUUUUUGGUAAGUUUUUCAUUAUUGACAGCUUUACAACUCCUUUCAUGGCAAUGCCAAUUGAUUUGGAGCCAUCAUUAAAAGAAUUCCAUAUGCCUGAACUUGAACUAUAAAGUUGGGCAACAGGUGGUGAAACAUUUACAAAAACAAGCUCGGCCUACAUUGGAACAAAAAUGGAUACUAUCAUUAUUAAAUUACAAGCAGAAUCAUAAUUAAAAGUAACUAUUGAGAGAAAUCCUGGUGAAUAAGCAAUAUGUUUGUGAGCCAGCACAUCCCAACGCCUAACACCUAACAGUAGCUCUUGAGAUUCUCCUGAGAAAGUUUAAAUCUGGAGUGGCAAUUUUAUCUUUCCUUAAUAUGUUUACUCCUUUGUUCUAAAAAGAAGGACUACAGAGCUUAAACUAGCACUUUAUUUGAGAUGUUGCUCCAAAAUAAAUCUCUCCUGACAUGGAUUUAUAGGUUGGACUGAAGUAUAUUUUAACC
rnacentral:lncRNA from 1 species